AGUUGUUAGCUCAGGUGCUGGUCUUAAAAAAUAAAUAAAUAAGUAAAAUAAAAUAAAAAUAUUUUAAAUUAUGAAGCAUCAAUUCAUUUCUGAAUAUGUCUAACAUACAGAGAAAUUGUGGUUAUGCUUAUUAUGUAUUCUCUAUACAGCAGCUUUUAAAAUACAUGACCUUGUUCAAGAGCAAAAUGCCUAACCCUUUCUAAACACUUUUAAAAUAAAGAAUAUGUAUACUUGAAUAAAUAUUGUUACCGGGUUUCAGAAAUGUUUCAGCAUGUUAUGAAAUAAGCAUAUUUAGAAAAUCAGAGUUGUUACAAAUUGAUGUCUAGAUUGCUCUAAAGGUAAUGUUGCUUUCAAAGUUCUCUCUUAAAACUAUUAUGCUCAAUUUUCUUUUUCUUUUUGACAUCCAGAAAGAGAGGUAUGUCUGGAUGAGAAGAGUUUUAUUUAAAAGGCAAGAAAAAAACUCUAUAAAGAAUUAGUAUAGAUGCUCAAUGCUUGAAUUUCUGGGGAUAUUUUGGGAAUUAGUUGUGGUUAACUCACCUUUGUUCAUUUCCUCUAGCUGUCUUGCAUGUUGAGGGACAUGUGAAAUCAAUGGAACCAGAUGUACAGAAGACAGUCAAGCUGUAAAAAUCUCACAUCCCAUAAAUUGAUAACUGCAGUUAUCAUUAUUUUAAUAAGGCUUUUAUUAGUAUUGGAAAUGCCUCUUGUCUUACAACUUCCAUUGAGUUGUUAAAUAUCUAAUUACCUUUUUCUUCUCGUCUUAUUUCUUUGCUAGAUUAUUUAUAUAGAAUUUCAUGGACAUUCUAAGAAAUGAUGAUGAUAGACUUGUUAGUCCUGAACUGAGCUGGAGUGAAACAGUGACUUUGGUUGGGUCAGUCAAAUCAUGGUAUUCAUUUCAGUUAUUUCAUAAAGCACAUUUUCUGGAGUCACAUUAAGAUCUUCCUUUUGAGACACACUUUGUUUUCCCUCAAACUAUGGGCAUAAUCUGCUAGCAACUGACAGCAUACCUCUGUAUAGGAAAGAGUCCCAUUUAUACAGAAGAGAUUCCAGGUUUCCACCACUGACUCGGAAUAUUUGAAUGUGAAUCCUAGAAUUACUGAGAGAGACUGUCCAAAGAGGUGGCUUGUUCAGCUAUAAAUAGGAGAAUAGAAGAAAAUAUGAAUAAGAUGAAAAAAUUAAGAAAAACGUCCUCUCGCCAUUGGUUUGGCUUAUGUUGUAGUUGAAAUAAAUUUGAUUACAUUACAACUACAUUAGAAAAUAAGUGUGAAAUAGGAUUGUAUAUUAUAUGUUGGAAAAGCCAUUGUCAGGAGACCAAGCCAGGAGUCUGAGGAUGCUUACUAUACUUAGAAAAGGAACAACCUCUAGUGAUCGGAGAAAGAAAAGAAAUAGAGAGGAGGAAUGGGACCAACAUUUAUCAAAUGCCCGACACCUGAAGGACACUAUUCUAAGUGCAUGUUAUGCCAUUUAACGUUUAUAACCCAGUAAGGCAGAGAAUGUCAUCUCCAACAGAUAGAUGAGAAAAAGAAAAAAAAACUUCAAGGAGUUACGUAAUUUUCAAAGAGUCUUAAACUGGCAGCCAACAGAGAAGGCAUUGGAACUCAGCCAUGUCUGCCUGCUGGCCCAGGUUUAUGCGCUCGCUGAACCUGAAAUCAACAGAGGUAGCAGCACCUGUAGCCAAAGAUCCCUCCUUAUGUUCCUCAUUUGAUGGCUUCGUGAUAGGUGCUGAAAAAAGAAACCCUCAGAGGUUCAGGCCCAAUUUUAGAAAAUAAUAUAUUAUUUAAUGGAGGUUAUGUUUUGACACAUUAUUUAAUGGAGGUUAAGUCUUAACCUACUUUACUUCCUAAAUCUUAUGUAACACAAAUACUUCUGCUGCAGAUAUACAGAUAACAGCCUGAGUGUGUUCAUUUUACUAAAAGAGGAGCACUGGUGUUAUGAAAAGACAUAAAUGGUGACCAUCACUUAGAAGAGUGGUUUGCAAACUUGUCCUUUUAAACUUAUUUUUGAAUGUGACUCACAGUAAAAAAAAUAUACUUUCUUUCAUCACCAACACACACACAUACACACACAAAUUUAUAAAAUAGUACUUUACCUUAACUGCAUGUAAUGCAUUAUAUAUCCCAUCCCACCCAUCCCGAUUCAUGCCAUAGCAUUACUACCUGCUGAAAAAUACUCGUUAUAGACACACUGAAUAGAUUUUAUAAUACACUAUGGGCCAUGAUUUAUAAUUUGGAAAUUACUGAUUGAAAGAUAGCAGGUAAAGCUUCCUGGAGAGUAUAAACUAUAAACUAUAGACUUAGACUAAGAAAAUAAGGAGAAGGUAGUUAGGUAAAAAGUAGGGGAUGGGAGGCAGUGCAAAAUUGUGUUCCAGGCAGAGAAAACAGAGGUGUGGAUCCCUGGAAUUGGAAAGGAAUUUGGUGAGAUUAGGAAACUGAGAGAAGGGACAGUGUAGCUGGAAUACAUUGGCAGAGUGGGAGAGUGAUGAGUGAAUCUAUAUGCAUAUAACUCAAAGCUGUGUAGACUAUAUUAAUAAUGAAUUUUUUGAAGGAAACUAAUGGAGGAGGGAGUGGUGUUGACUUGAUCAGAUUGGUUUCAUGAACAGGUCAACCUGAAGGCAGGGUGGGGAAGAAUCUGAAGGGGGCAAGAAGAGCAGUUAAGAGGUUGUUGUAGUGAGCUGGGUGAGAGAGACGGUAGUUUAGAAUAGGCCAGAGCAGAAGGGUUAGAAGAAAGUAGAUGAGAUCAAGAUAUAUUUAGGAAACAAAACAAGAAGAUUUGGCGAUGCAUUGGCUGUGAAGAGGCAGUGAAGUAGAAUGAUGGGUUAACAACAACAGUUAUAAUAAUUGCUAACAUUUUAUAAUAGUUACUAAGCAUCAGACACUUUUCUGAGCAAUUUAUGUGUUAAAUUUGGCUUUCAAACAUUUUUCUGAAUGCAACCCACCUUAAGAAAUCUAUUUUAUGUUAUCAUACACACACAUGUAUUUAUAAAACUGCACCUCUCAGAUUUCUGGCUUAACAAUUCAGUAGAGGCUAGUGCUAUAAACUGAAAUAAAGAAUAAUGGAGAAGUCGGUUUUUUGGAGGAGAAAUGAGGGAUGAUGAGUUUGAUUUUGGAUAUCAUGAACUUUAGAUGUCUCUAUGUGGAUCUGAGCUCAGAAGAAUUAUUUGGGCUAUAGAUAAAACAUUUGGGAGUGAUCAGUGCAUAGAUUAAAAUUAAAGCUUAUGGGCUGAAUGAGAUCAUCUGGGCAGAGACAACAGAGUGAAAAGAAAAUGAGGUCUAGUUUAGAGCCUUAUACAAGUCAAAUAUUAACAGUCAAACUGAGAAGGAAGUGGAAAAAGGAGCUGAAAAGAGUGACCUAAGACAGAGGAGAAAGUCAGGAAAGAGUGUGGUCACAGAAUUGAGGUGUUUUGUUUGUUUCCUAGUAAAAUGAUGAGUAUAUUAGAAUGAGUAAUGAACUGUGUCAAAUGUUUCCGUAAAGUCAAGUAAAGUAAUAGUAAUAAAAGUUCCCUCUGGAUUUAGAACAUGCUUGUUGAUGGUGACCUCAGUGGGAGGUGAUCUCUGUGGUGGAGUGUGUCAGGGUUGUAAAUGUGUGACUUAAACAAAUUGUCUUUAAUCUAUGAUUAGGUAAAGUUCACAUGCUAACAUGCUUUUAAGGUAAUGUUCCCAUUUUUGGAUAGUUAAAAGCCUAGUCAAAAUUACGGUUUGGCCCACAAAGUCUGAGGUUGGAGCUCUGUCAACUGCAAAGACUUACUCUUCCAUCACAGUAGGGAUAUGAAUGAGAAGAACCACAGCACACUGAAGACAACAGUAAAGUAAGGAGAGUCUCGUAACAGCACGAAGGAAAAUUUACAGGAGCUGAGGAAUGAGAAGGAGUUGAAGGCAUGGAGAGUGGAGGAGUGAGGAGAGAAGAAGCUGUCGUACAAGAUGUACGUACGCUUGGCCUUCUGGCUGUGCUCUUCAAGUUGGAGGGCUUUCUGUGGAUGGUUAUGGCAGUCGUAUGAGAACAAAACAGUGGUUGAUACUUUUCUCAGUUGCCUUAGACCUGGUUCCUGAAGCUCUAGCACACAAGGAGGUUGUCAGUUGUUGAUGGGACAGAUCUUCAAGUUAGAGCAGAUACAGGAGAGAAAGAAAAGUAAAACCCUGAAGACUAUUAAGAAUAAACAACUCCCUAAAGAGGAUUGCCUACAAAGAGAAGGAGAAGCUAGGUUAGUAUUUGGGAGUCUUCUCUGAAAUCAAAGAAAUAUUUCUUUUCUUAAGGAAUGGGGAUGCCAGUUGGUUUGUAACCUCAGGAGUUCCUCAGAUGAAAUUCAAAACUGGCCCCCAUAUGCAGAGGGCAAACAGAGACUGAAGAAAGAGGCAAACCACUCCAGAUUGGUGGGUGGCAGUUUUAAUAAGUAAGGAAGCUUACAUGUGAGGCUUGUCCUGGGAGGCCACAAGACAAGUAGAUCUCUGCUUCUGCCCACCAGAAUCUUAAGAGUUUAUAUAGAGGCUUUAGCAGGGUUCAGUCAUGUACGUUGUCCAGAUGGUCUCAACAACACGUUAUUCUCUCGAGGCUGCAUCCUUGAAAUGGCUCCUGGUGUGGGAAUGGUGGGCAGAAAGUACAUCCCAAGGACAGGGGAGGGGGAAAGGAGCCUCCAACUACCCAGGUCCAGCUCAUCGGUCAACCAAUUGUCACAUCCUCUUGAUGACCUCCUCCAACAAUACCUCAUCCAUUGUAAUGGGAGAGAAAGUGGAAAAGAAGGGAGCAGUUUCAGGUAGGCUUAUGGAUAUGGUGGUGCAAAGUUGGGUUGGUUAGGCUGAAAGCUUCUAUCUUCUCUCUGAUAUAUGUAGAUAAAGGUAGGCAAUGAGAGAAUCUCUUGGGAGAAAGAGAAAUGUCAGGAGGUGAGAGAGAGUCAACAAGAGAAACCUAGCAGGAUUCCUGGGCAGGAUUGAGGUUCCAGUUUAGUUUACAAUGGUUUUAAUCUCAGAUGUGUGACUUUUCCCACCAGCUCCACAGCUUUCACAGGGGAGAUCGAUGGGUGGAUACAUCCUGGAUUGGGGUGUUUCGAGAGGCAUAGCUAAAGGACAACAGGGAAAUUGUGCUCUGCAUAUUAGUGAAAGAAUGACUAAACUAAUGGACAACAGACUUUAAGUGGUAGACGAGAAUUAUACACAAUGACUUCAAAGUGCAAAGUGUGUCUGAAUUUUUUAGUUCUGAACUCAUCUUGAGCUGGACCUCCCAUUUCCACUGAGGGUAGAAAAAUAAAUUUGCCAAUUAAAGAUAACUCAAUCUUGUAUUUUAACAUAGUUUCUUUGGGAGCAAAUAUUCCAUUAAUUAAAAGUUCAAAAUUCUUUGCAUGAAUAUUUCUCCUUACCUCAAGGGGUCUUGCCUUCAUUUCUUCUUUCUCAGAUGGCUUGUUGAUGGAGGAUUUCAGUACCAAUUGGUUAGGGGAAAACAACAGUUAAAACAACCUUUUGUUCUCAUUCUUGUCAUUCUCUCUCUCUCCUUGGCUGCUUCUCUCAAUAGCUGGACAUACCUACAUCUGUAUCUUGUUGAAUAGGAACUACUGCUCUAUCGCAUCAUCUUCUGUAUCCAGGGACUAUGUUAUUCAAAGGGGAGCUUACAUACACAAAGAAAGUAGAGGGGGUUGCUGGAUUGAUGGUCCCAAUGUGUUAGGAGAACAGAUGUAGCAGAAAUGGUUCAGGACACGAGAUGGAAGCAUAGGAAGAUGUGCUCAGGGAGGAUGAUGUCUGAAUUUAGUAUUCCAAAGCUGGGAAAGUUUUGUAGAUGACAAUGUCCAGAGUACGCCCAAGGGAGUUGUUAGAUGACAUAAAAUGGUGAUCUUGGAGACAACAAGGUGGUAAUGCAAGACUGGUGUGCAGUUUGGGUCAUCAACAUUGACUUGGAAUCAACUAAGAGAAAUGUAAGAGUUGGAAUGGAAAUUGAGACCAUGAUCCAAAAUCUUCAGUUAAUGAGGCAAGUAUUCCAGAUGGCACUGGCAUGGAUUUUAAAUGUCAUUUUCAGUAGAGACUUUCUGAUCACCAUAGAAUAAUAAAUUGAAAGGGGAAAAUAUAGUAUAGAAGCUUUUUAGAGCUAGCAUGCAAGGGGGAAUUUAUAACUAGAAAAUGAUCCAAGAGAACAAUGUUAGAACUUUCAUGCCAAAACUUACUAAAGAAGAUACAAUUUCUGAUGAAUUCUGGAAGUUUUGUCUUUGGUCUUCAAAUGUUACAUGACAUGGAGUAAAUGUUUUCUUCACUUCUAAAUAGAUAAGGGGUAGGAGAAGCAUAGAUGAGCAGUUAGGCGAGAGGUACCAAGUUGCCAUUCUCUCCUCUGCCCCUUUGCCUCUAAUCUGGUAGUGUAGCAAGAUUUGGAGUUGCCACUGCUGCUGCCAACAGCCAAGUCUGCACUUUGUUGGCAUUUUGCAUAGCAGAAUAUGAAAGUGAGUUAUGAAUAGCAGUCAGUGUCAUUUUCUUGUAUUUUGAUCAAAAAAGAUUUAUUGAAAUAUCCCUGAAGUGAUUUCCAGAUAUCUCGCCCUACUGACUUGGAUGUGAAAUGCAGGAAAGCAGUGGGGUAUUGUGAGGGGACUAAAGAGAGAGACAGGCAAUUCCUGGCUAAAUGUCAACUGAGAGAGGCUUUGAAAUUUACUGUUUAAUUUUGAUUAACUAGUUAAGCACUUGAUUUAAUUAGUAGUUGCUUCAAUUGGAGGAUUUGGUGGGUAAUUUUUUAAAUUUCCAAGGCUUCAUUUAGUGGGUAGAUUUUAUCUAUUAUAAAAUGCAUUUGCAUGUAAGACUGGUUUCUUCAAUUGCUUUUUCAUAAAGAAUUCUAGAAUUGACACUUUGAAUAAGGUUCCAUAUUAUGUAAAGCAAUCUUUUUAAAAAAAUAUAUAAACCAAACUGUUCUGAUGAAUUCAUGGAGUUAUCAUGUGGUCUCUUUAUUUACAGUCAUUAGAAUUUAUGCUGUUCUCAGAAAUUAUACCUUAUUACAUGGCUUAUUUUUUUUAAUCCUAAAGGUGUUAUCUAAUUACACUAUAAUUAAAUGCAAUUUAUCAAAUAGAAAUAAAGACAAAACCAGUAAUCAGAGACUUUUCCUUUGUUCAUAGAUAUUCAGUGGAGGUGUAUCGUAUAAUUAGUUUACGAGUGUUUACUCUAGAACAAGUAGAAUAAAAUUGCCAUCAUUUUUCCUUUCAUCAUCUGACAGCGCACUUGGAAUUCAUUUGCAUAGCUUUACAAUGGACGCCAUGACUCCCAACACAGAUCUACUGUUGUAUAACUUGCAAUGAAAAAGUGAACUUUGUGAAGAGGGUGGAGGUAGAGAAGUGUGUGCAUGUGUUGGGCUGGUGGAUUGUUUUCUUCUCAUCUCAAAUCUAUUAAGAAGCACUGCAUGAAAACCUCGCGGAGAUACAGAUCUGUGUAUCCGUGGUCUGGAGAACAUGGAAGCUGAGGCAGGAGCCGCUUGCCAGGCAACUAAAUAAAAAGAAAGGAACAAGGAAAAUGAGGGAGUGAAAGCCAUUUUAUGGAAUCUGUUCCAUGGAACGGGAGCUGUGCUCCAUAGAGUCCUCGACGUCCAGGAGGAGGCAUUGACGAGAGUUUCUAGAGAUAUGGUCAUCCGCCCUUCUUCCUGGUACGGAG